rnacentral:rRNA from 1 species
GACGAACGCUGGCGGCGUGCUUAACACAUGCAAGUCGAACGGAAAGGCCCUGCUUUUGUGGGGUGCUCGAGUGGCGAACGGGUGAGUAACACGUGAGUAACCUGCCCUUGACUUUGGGAUAACUUCAGGAAACUGGGGCUAAUACCGGAUAGGAGCUCCUGCUGCAUGGUGGGGGUUGGAAAGUUUCGGCGGUUGGGGAUGGACUCGCGGCUUAUCAGCUUGUUGGUGGGGUAGUGGCUUACCAAGGCUUUGACGGGUAGCCGGCCUGAGGGGGUGACCGGCCACAUUGGGACUGAGAUACGGCCCAGACUCCUACGGGAGGCAGCAGUGGGGAAUAUUGCACAAUGGGCGGAAGCCUGAUGCAGCAACGCCGCGUGCGGGAUGACGGCCUUCGGGUUGUAAACCGCUUUCGCCUGUGACGAAGCGUGAGUGACGGUAAUGGGUAAAGAAGCACCGGCUAACUACAUG